AACUGCACAAUGUGGGAAACCACGAUGCGGGAAACCCAAGUGCCAGCGCUAUGCGUUGGCUGUCCUCCAGUGUUCGUAACUGGGGAAGAAAGUGCUGGGUAAGACGGGUGCCAGCCGCCGCGGUAAUACCCGCAGCACAAGUGGUGGUCAUUAUUAUUGGGCCUAAAGCGUCCGUAGCUGGCUUGUUAGAUGCCUGGGUAAAUCGAUGCGCUCAACGUAUCGAACUCCGGGUAGACCGGCAAGCUUGGGACCGGGAGAGGCGUGAGCUACUCGAGGGGUAGGGGUAAAAUCCUGUAAUCCUUCGGGGAGGACCAGUGGCGAAGGCGUCACGCUAGAACGGCUCCGACAGUGAGGGACGAAGCCCUGGGGCGCAAACCGGAUUAGAUACCCGGGUAGUCCAGGGUGUAAACGCUGCAGACUUGGUGUCGGUGAUCCUACGAGGGUUGCCGGUGCCGUAGAGAAGUUGUUUAGUCUGCCGCCUGGGGAGUACGGUCGCAAGACUGAAACUUAA
rnacentral:rRNA from 1 species